rnacentral:rRNA from 1 species
AGUUGGUGGAGUGAUUUGUCUGGUUAAUUCCGUUAACGAACGAGACCUCGACCUGCUAAAUAGUUUGGUCUAUCCUUGGAUAGAUACAAUUACUUCUUAGAGGGACUAUGGUUGGUUAGACCAUGGAAGUUCGAGGCAAUAACAGGU